GGUUAAGCGACUAAGCGUACACGGUGGAUGCCCUGGCAGUCAGAGGCGAUGAAGGACGUGCUAAUCUGCGAUAAGCGUCGGUAAGGUGAUAUGAACCGUUAUAACCGGCGAUUUCCGAAUGGGGAAACCCAGUGUGAUUCGUCACACUAUCAUUAACUGAAUCCAUAGGUUAAUGAGGCGAACCGGGGGAACUGAAACAUCUAAGUACCCCGAGGAAAAGAAAUCAACCGAGAUUCCCCCAGUAGCGGCGAGCGAACGGGGAGCAGCCCAGAGCCUGAAUCAGUGUGUGUGUUAGUGGAAGCGUCUGGAAAGGCGUGCGAUACAGGGUGACAGCCCCGUACACAAAAAUGCACAUACUGUGAGCUCGAUGAGUAGGGCGGGACACGUGGUAUCCUGUCUGAAUAUGGGGGGACCAUCCUCCAAGGCUAAAUACUCCUGACUGACCGAUAGUGAACCAGUACCGUGAGGGAAAGGCGAAAAGAACCCCGGCGAGGGGAGUGAAAAAGAACCUGAAACCGUGUACGUACAAGCAGUGGGAGCACGCUUAGGCGUGUGACUGCGUACCUUUUGUAUAAUGGGUCAGCGACUUAUAUUCUGUAGCAAGGUUAACCGAAUAGGGGAGCCGAAGGGAAACCGAGUCUUAACUGGGCGUUAAGUUGCAGGGUAUAGACCCGAAACCCGGUGAUCUAGCCAUGGGCAGGUUGAAGGUUGGGUAACACUAACUGGAGGACCGAACCGACUAAUGUUGAAAAAUUAGCGGAUGACUUGUGGCUGGGGGUGAAAGGCCAAUCAAACCGGGAGAUAGCUGGUUCUCCCCGAAAGCUAUUUAGGUAGCGCCUCGUGAAUUCAUCUCCGGGGGUAGAGCACUGUUUCGGCAAGGGGGUCAUCCCGACUUACCAACCCGAUGCAAACUGCGAAUACCGGAGAAUGUUAUCACGGGAGACACACGGCGGGUGCUAACGUCCGUCGUGAAGAGGGAAACAACCCAGACCGCCAGCUAAGGUCCCAAAGUCAUGGUUAAGUGGGAAACGAUGUGGGAAGGCCCAGACAGCCAGGAUGUUGGCUUAGAAGCAGCCAUCAUUUAAAGAAAGCGUAAUAGCUCACUGGUCGAGUCGGCCUGCGCGGAAGAUGUAACGGGGCUAAACCAUGCACCGAAGCUGCGGCAGCGACGCUUAUGCGUUGUUGGGUAGGGGAGCGUUCUGUAAGCCUGUGAAGGUGUGCUGUGAGGUAUGCUGGAGGUAUCAGAAGUGCGAAUGCUGACAUAAGUAACGAUAAAGCGGGUGAAAAGCCCGCUCGCCGGAAGACCAAGGGUUCCUGUCCAACGUUAAUCGGGGCAGGGUGAGUCGACCCCUAAGGCGAGGCCGAAAGGCGUAGUCGAUGGGAAACAGGUUAAUAUUCCUGUACUUGGUGUUACUGCGAAGGGGGACGGAGAAGGCUAUGUUGGCCGGGCGACGGUUGUCCCGGUUUAAGCGUGUAGGCUGGUUUUCCAGGCAAAUCCGGAAAAUCAAGGCCGAGGCGUGAUGACGAGGCACUACGGUGCUGAAGCAACAAAUGCCCUGCUUCCAGGAAAAGCCUCUAAGCAUCAGGUAACAUCAAAUCGUACCCCAAACCGACACAGGUGGUCAGGUAGAGAAUACCAAGGCGCUUGAGAGAACUCGGGUGAAGGAACUAGGCAAAAUGGUGCCGUAACUUCGGGAGAAGGCACGCUGAUACGUAGGUGAAGCGACUUGCUCGUGGAGCUGAAAUCAGUCGAAGAUACCAGCUGGCUGCAACUGUUUAUUAAAACACAGCACUGUGCAAACACGAAAGUGGACGUAUACGGUGUGACGCCUGCCCGGUGCCGGAAGGUUAAUUGAUGGGGUUAGCGCAAGCGAAGCUCUUGAUCGAAGCCCCGGUAAACGGCGGCCGUAACUAUAACGGUCCUAAGGUAGCGAAAUUCCUUGUCGGGUAAGUUCCGACCUGCACGAAUGGCGUAAUGAUGGCCAGGCUGUCUCCACCCGAGACUCAGUGAAAUUGAACUCGCUGUGAAGAUGCAGUGUACCCGCGGCAAGACGGAAAGACCCCGUGAACCUUUACUAUAGCUUGACACUGAACAUUGAGCCUUGAUGUGUAGGAUAGGUGGGAGGCUUUGAAGUGUGGACGCCAGUCUGCAUGGAGCCGACCUUGAAAUACCACCCUUUAAUGUUUGAUGUUCUAACGUGGACCCGUGAUCCGGGUUGCGGACAGUGUCUGGUGGGUAGUUUGACUGGGGCGGUCUCCUCCUAAAGAGUAACGGAGGAGCACGAAGGUUGGCUAAUCCCGGUCGGACAUCAGGAGGUUAGUGCAAUGGCAUAAGCCAGCUUGACUGCGAGCGUGACGGCGCGAGCAGGUGCGAAAGCAGGUCAUAGUGAUCCGGUGGUUCUGAAUGGAAGGGCCAUCGCUCAACGGAUAAAAGGUACUCCGGGGAUAACAGGCUGAUACCGCCCAAGAGUUCAUAUCGACGGCGGUGUUUGGCACCUCGAUGUCGGCUCAUCACAUCCUGGGGCUGAAGUAGGUCCCAAGGGUAUGGCUGUUCGCCAUUUAAAGUGGUACGCGAGCUGGGUUUAGAACGUCGUGAGACAGUUCGGUCCCUAUCUGCCGUGGGCGCUGGAGAACUGAGGGGGGCUGCUCCUAGUACGAGAGGACCGGAGUGGACGCAUCACUGGUGUUCGGGUUGUCAUGCCAAUGGCACUGCCCGGUAGCUAAAUGCGGAAGAGAUAAGUGCUGAAAGCAUCUAAGCACGAAACUUGCCCCGAGAUGAGUUCUCCCUGACCCUUUAAGGGUCCUGAAGGAACGUUGAAGACGACGACGUUGAUAGGCCGGGUGUGUAAGCGCAGCGAUGCGUUGAGCUAACCGGUACUAAUGAACCGUGAGGCUUAACCUU
rnacentral:rRNA from 1 species